UCAGAAACCUUUCUGUUGUGAUUUUUGUGGACAAAGAUUUAGCGUAAAAGGAAAUUUAAACAGUCACAUAAAAAUCCACACAGGAGACAAACCUUUCUAUUGUGAUCUUUGUGGACAAAGAUUUAGGCAUAAAUCAACUUUAAACGCACACAUAAGAAUCCACAUUGAAAGGAAAAUGGCUUAGCUAUAAAUACUCGCUCAAGCUGCACAGCUGUAGUUUCCUGUGACAUUUCGAUGUCAUUAGAGGCAACAGUCUUCAAAUGGUUUCAACAUUUCUCUGGUGGUUAAUCUAUAUAUUUUUCUUAAAGAUGUACUUUCUUGUAUAACUGGUACUUUCUUUGCCAUGUAAGUUUUAUUCACUAUAUUUAGUCUUUUGUUUAGAUGGAGGUGUAGCACAGGUGUGUUCUUAGUGCAUGGAAAUAGUUUUAUGGUUUUAGAUACAGAAUCAGGGCACCUUGCUGUCAUUAGGUCGACCAUGAACUCCUCUGUAUACCAGAGUAUCUUUGAGUCAAGGUUAAUCAGCUGAAGCUUGGAUCAAAGUGGAUCAUCAGUAGGAUAAUAAUCCCAAACAAAGUAGCAAAUGUGAAAAGGAUCGACUUAUGAAAAACCCAACCUCUUAACCUACAUGCUGUUUUUUGUCUCCUCCUGAUGGGCCUGCCAGACAACGCCCCUUUUUGGCAGUCUAUAAAUGUCACUGAAAUGAUUUCUGCAUUGAAGAAAAUAUUUGUUUUCAAAGGUUAAAAUGUUUUGGUUUUAUUUUGUUGUGGCUCACAUGAAAAUGUUUUGUCUUAUGUAUAAGAUAUAUUUAUUAUGUCACUAAACUAUUUUUUGUCCUCGCUCUUGUCACGAGACGUGUGAGCAUAAGAGGCUGCGAGCCUCCUACGUAAGCAGGAAGCACACCAAAGCCUUGUUCUGAGUGAUCUGCAGCAGCCUGGUCAGCUUGCUUGCUGUAAAAGUUUUCACGGCGUAAAAUAAACAAGACAAAGCGCCCCUCUCGAAGAA